rnacentral:rRNA from 1 species
AUCAUGGAGAGUUUGAUCUUGGCUCAGGAUGAACGCUGGCGGUCUGCUUAACACAUGCAAGUCGAACGGAGUCCUUCGGGACUUAGUGGCGGACGGGUGAGUAACGCGUGAGAAUCUGCCUUCAGGUCUGGGACAACAGAAGGAAACUUCUGCUAAUCCCGGAUGAG